AGUAUCCCUAUUUUCCAGAGACGUCCCUAAUUUAGAAAAGCCAUCUCAGUUUCUGAUUUGAUCCUGGAAUGCCCUGCUUUUCCUUAGGACAUCCCUAUUUUCAUUGGAGAAAUGUUGGAGGGUAUGGAAUUAUCCAACCCCUGAGCCAUCUGAAGGCAAUCCUGUAUGGGGUAGGUUUGUUUAAUGUUUAAUGUUUUAUUAUGUUUUUAUAUAUGCUGUAAGCUGCCCAGAAUGGCUUGCGCAACCCAAUAAGAUGUCUGGGGUAUAAAUACUAAAAUUAUCAUUAUGGAAUGGGACAUCCCUCUUUUCAUCAGAGAAAUAUUGGAGGGUAGGCAAUACUCAUGCAGAUCAGCAAUGUAUAUGGUGGUUGCAUAGGAAGCAGAAACUGCACAGACUACUGAAUAGGGUAACAGCUUUGCUGUGCAACCCUGUUCUUGUUUACUCAGAAGUAAGUUUCACUUUGCUCUGUUGGGCCUAUUCUCUAGAACGUGGGUGAGCAGAUCUUAGCCUUGUAGGAUUAACGUUGGGGUUUUUGCCUUUUAAAGUUUAUCCCUGACAUCCACUUCAAGAUGCAAAAUAGUGGCUCAGGCAGAUGGCUAUGAAAUAGAGUGCUUCUGAACAAAUGCUCAGCCCAGGAAUUUGAGAUCAGUACCAGAACCAAGCUUACAAAUACUUUCAGAGAAAAAAUCACUUCGGGUUUUUCCCCAAGCAUACAUUUUCAGCAACCUAAUAUUAUGUGGGGGCAAGCUUUUCAGUUGUUGCUAUUGUUAGGCAAUUGGAAAUCGAUGUCACCUGAAGAUCUACCAGUAGAUGCUAAUCUUCCUUCUUCCCACCAACAUAGACCUAGAAAGUGUGUUUGGAUUUCAGCUUUAAACACCUACUAUUUGUAGCAUGGAGAGAGGCAGGUAUGUAUUGACAGUUUCAAUGACGUUUAAAUCAGAUCUGUUAGCUUAAUAUCCAGAUUCCUCAUUAUUAAAUCAAAGUCCAUGGAUGUCUGUUAUUUGUAUACUGUAAUUGCAGCUCAAUGCAGUUUAGAAAUAUAGAUCCACUACUUAAUCAUACAAUAAACUUCCUUGUGGGUUAUUUUAAAAUGUGUGAAAUUGAAAAAGGGAAAAAUAAACCCUUUUGCUCAUCUUUAAGAUUAAUUUUUUACGCUAAACUUUCAUUUGAGAAGUCACUUAAUGAAAUUGGUGGCUGAACUCUUUCGUAAACUCAGUAACUUGAGACUCAUGAGAAAAGAGUGGGAAAUGGAAACUAAAGUGUUGAUAUAAGAGGAACUAGAAAAUGCAGCUAGGACAGUUCUUUGUGCUAAAAUGCACAUUGUAAAAGAAAAAAAAUCAAAGUAUUUAUUUAUUCCCAUAGACGUUUUCAAAUUCUGGAUUAGUAUACUCAGAAUGGCUUUGUACACACUGGUAUGAAAUAUUGUGUGCUCAAUAGACUGGUUUGGCAUGCAAAUAAUUGAAACUUGAACUCUUCCCAUGAUUUCAUCCCCUCAACUUCCAGUUUAAAGACAUGACCAUAUUUGGUGUAGGACUUCAGAACUGAUUCUUUGGGGUUGAAGUUACAUACAAGAUGUUAUCAAAUGAAAAGGAAGAACACAGUCAACAAGGCUUUGUUUUUCUGCUGUAUAUAGCACACAGAGGAUGAGGAAUCUCUUCCCACCCCCAUUUCAUCCAAUCUGAGAUCACAACAGUCACAGUUCCUUUUCUGACUACAUAGUUAAAAAAACAAACAAAAAACUGCAGCAAGCUAUAGUGGAAUUUAGUGAUUCAUUCAAAAUUUGAAUGAAGGUCCAUUAAAAUCAACAGGAUGUGAUUCUAAUUGUUUUGCAUGAGUAUGCCAAAUCCUUGAACUGUUUUGGGAAAUACCAAGGCAAAAUUGUUAAUUGAUUCCUAAGGGUUAAGCGCAGGUUCCAUGCCUAAUCCUUGAAUGAAAACCCCACUUUCUACCUCCUCUCCCCUUUCUGUUACAACAGUGGAUGGAUAUGUAGUCAACAUCCAGUGAAAUCCUUCCUUAUUCUUUCAUGUGAGAUAGAAAUGCAAUCUUAGCUUACAAGGUUGCAUAUAUUAUUAGCACGAGUGGAUAUGGUUGUCAGAUACUGGAUUUUUCAUACCAGGCUUGCUGGAUCAUGUCAAGGGCCUGUCUAGUCCAGCAUUCUGUUAUCACUAUGGUCCAACGGAUGCUUAUGUCAGGCCUGCAAGCAGGAUCUGAGCACAAAAACACUCUUCCCAUUGCACUUCCAAGCAGCUGGUAUUCAAUGGCAUACUGCUUUUUUUUUUUCUGCUGCGCAAACUUUUCUCCCUCUUUGGGUUCAUUCGCAUUUCCAUUUGCCCUGUAAUUUCUAGGCACGGGUCCAAAAGGUUCUUCCUUUGUCCUGUGUCCAGAAAUCAUGGGACAAGUGGAAGUGUGGAUGAGCCCUUUUUGUGAAUAGUUUGUAUAUACACCUUUGUUUCGUUUGCUGUUCUGUCAUACAAGUGCACUAAAAAAAAAAAGCGGCCAACUUGUGCAUGUAGUACCAGGUUCAACUCCUAGCCCAGCCUUCCUCAGCCUGGUGCUCUCUAGAUAUUUUUGACUACAACUUCUGUCAGCUCCAACGCAUAUGGCUGUUGUUCCAGGAUAAUAGGAACUGUAGUACAAAACAUUUGAAGGGAACCAAUUUCUUCUUCUUCUAAGAGUAGUCUCUGGUAAAAAGGCUGGAAAAUACAUUUUCCUGAAACUUGAAUAGCCUCUGCCCAUCAGAGUACACAGUACUAUGCUAGAACUGACUCAGGAUAAAUAAAUUAUGCCACACAUAUCUGUAAUGUGUUCUUCAGAACCUCUUUGUUAACUAAAGAAGCAAUACAGCCUUUAUAAGUCAGUGGGUCAUUUCCAUGGCCUUAAGUGGAAAGGUGAAUUGUACAGUGGUACCUCGGGUUAAGAACUUAAUUCGUUCUGGAGCUCUGUUCUUAACCUGAAACUGUUCUUAACCUGAAGCACCACUUUAGCUAAUGGGGCCUCCCGCUGCCGCCGCACAAUUUCUGUUCUCAUCCUGAAGCAAAGUUCUUAACCCGAGGUACUAUUUCUGGGUUAGUGGAGUCUGUAACCUGAAGCAUCUGUAACCCGAGUUACCAUUGUAUUGUUAAUUGAACAGCAAGACUUCUUACUGCUUUCUGAGGGCCAAAAUAGCUAAACUACAGGAAAUCUGUGAUUAUAUUCCCCAAUGUUUUUUGGAUUCAGAUCCCAAAUUGGAUCUAGUCUGCUACACUAAAAUGAGAUAUAAUCCUUCCCCUCAUACUGUUUGCUCAAUCUAAAUUGUGUGCACACGAAUGUAAACAAGUUGCUGUUUGUCCCAUUGAGUGUCGAAGACCCCCAAGACCCCCCCAAUAAAACAUGGUUCACACAUCAUAUUUGUUUUUUUGUUUUUGGCAUAAUUUUGGCCGCAACUUUAUUGAAUUACAGUAUGUGAGUGGUUGCUUAGGCAUUGGUUAGCGACUGUCUGUUCCCACUUGGAGGUAGGAACAAAACUGACAACCACACCCAUGUGGAAGUCAGUAAGGGCAAACAAUUUUGGGGAGAGAAUAAAGCUGGGUGCCAGGCUCUCACCUUUCCCCAAAUGCUCCCAGGGGCUCUUGUGUGGCCCUGGCCCUUUGCCAGAGAUUCGGACAAAAGCAUGGUGAGCCCCUGGAUUCCUUUAACAGAAUACCCUUGCAGAAGCAGCAUUGGAGGGGCAGGCACAGCCAACCGCAUCCCCUCUACCAACCAAAAAUUAACCAAUGCCUAACCGCAACCUUACAAGUUGUGAUGAUUUGCUACGCAGUAGGCAAAACCCAAAUGGCACCAGCCAAUCAGCCAAAUGGUAAAAUUCCUACCGGACCCCCGCUCUAAAGCAGACAACCCCAUGACAAGGCAUAGCAAGGUCAGUGCGAACAAACCCUAAAGAAAGGGAGGGUGGGCAGGUAAUCCGAUGUGCGCAGAGAAAAGAGGAAGCUCAACACUGUGCACAGGGACCUAUAUAGCACCCCCAUCAAUCAAAUAAAAUUGCAACAAUAAAUUUUCCCCAGCAACAUUGGAGGUGCCCAAUCAAACUCAUGGCCAUGCAAACUAACCCGCCCAGCAACAGGGGAAGUCAUGGUUACUCCCACCGCAACACGUGCUCUCUAUGAAGGAGAACCCGCUUUGGAGAAAACAUUUCCAUAUAGGCACAGAAUAGUUAAUGUUAAGUUGUGGGUGAACAUAUCAGACGACACAGCGAUUCUUCAAACAGCUCUUGUUUAUUCACAGGCCAGAACAGAACUGAACAGCAAACAGCUCAGCUGGCCUGCUUUUAUAGGCAGCCGGCUGUCAACAUUGUAGCAACAACAACCCAGGGUUUCCCGCUUAAAGUAACCGACGUGGACCUGAGUGAAAACUACCGUAUAUACACGAUACUCCUGGUGGCCAGGGUGAGAACUUCAAUACAUAACAGUUAAAGACGGGAAGGGAGAUUUAUAUCCGAAAGUGAAAUUGGAGGAACAAUUAACCCUACUCGUCCAGCAGACCAGCAUAUAGGCCCAUUUCAUUACUGUAUAGUUGCCUAAAACCUAGGUAAAUUUGUAGCAUCAUGUCUGCUUUUCCAAGCAGCUCUUUUUGUUAUCUACUUUGUCUAAGGGAACACAAUUAAAUCAAAGGCAAUCAACAUGACUGGCCUUAGAGACGAUGUGUCCCUUCGGCUCAUUGCCCAGUGUGUGUGUACUGCUCACCCAAUCGUAAUCUGCCCCUGAGUGAAGCACGCACUUUUCAGAUUUAUAAUGAAUUAUGAAAAAAAAAAAAAUUAUGAAACAUUGCAGACCCAAAAAAUAAGCCAUAAGGAUUUCUAGUGCCUUCAACAUACUGCCAUUUUAAUUUCCCCAUUUCUAUUAUUGGCCAUCAUUUCUAUUAUUAAUGGAUGAAACCUGAAACCCACAAAGUUCCUAGCAGGCCCUAAUUUCAAUCUGCUGCCACAUUAAGACUCUAAAUGUUUGUCCUGUUUUUAUUUCAUCAUAGAAUGGGUGGGUGGGUGGCUGUGAUGGGGAUUAACCCAUUUAUGAUAUUUUAUUCUAUGUUGUUUAGCAUGCUUGUGUCAUUUUUAUUAUAUUUUUACUUUGUACAUGAUUUGGGGGUUUUUUGUAGGGAGAAGUGAUCUUUAUAAAUUUAACAAAUCUAACUUUCUAACCUGAUGUAGAUUUGUUGGCUUUGCUGGUCCAUUUUUUUCUUCUUCUCCUACUUCCUCUUUGUUUACUAUCUAGCCUAUUGAAGUGUUCUGGGAAACGCCUGCACACUAUUUUGUAACAUUUUAGUUAGACUAAUAAUGGUAUCGCCCUAAUGUGGAUUUUGGAUUCCCCCCCCCCCUUACAGGCCAGCAUAACUACCUCUUGUGUGUGUUUACCAAAGACUAUAUAAGCUUUCAAGUUCUGCAAAACUCUCCAGAACGGAAAGGUAGCAAAAGAGAGUAGGUUUACAUGUCCACAGGAAUAAUGAUUUGGCCACUUUAGACAGUUAGUGAUACAAAACAUUUAGUACUUCAGACCCAGUGUAGUGGCCAUGAUGGCCAUGGCAAAGAUGAUUUUAAAGGGGUUUAGAUAAAUUUAUGGAGUGUAUGCCUAAAACUCUUAUUUUCCAUGAUAGCUUAAAUGUAAUUUUCAGGUUCGGCGUACCUCUGGAUACCUGUUAGAAGGCAUCUGGUGGGGGAGUACUGUUGCCUUCCGACCUUGCUUAUGAAUAUCACAAAAGCUGGCUGGAUGUCCACAAGCAGUGCUGGAGUAGAUGGACCCUUCGUCUUAUCUAACAGGUCAGGGCACUUGUUUUUACACAAUAGCUAACUGGUCAAUAGGAUCAUAACCCUAUGCUUGUAUGUGAGAUCCAAGCUUAAUUUUAAAAGUCCUAUCCUUGUGCUGUUGCCUGUGCCAAUGCUGUGGCAUUCAGUCUGGAUAUACUUCUAUAAUGUAUGGUUGAGUUCACUCAGUGAUGGUUGGAAAGUACAUGCCCGGAUAUACUCAGUUUAUUUUUACUCUGCAACAUGUCUACAUCUUUCAGACCCAAGUCCUGGUUUGAAUACAAGUCAUUGCAGGCUACUGCUUUUCCUCUGCAACACUAUCACCACAGCUGGUUUCUGUGUCAUCAAAAUAUUCAGGCACAUGCUGCUGUAUCACAGAGAAAAUUGGCUAGUGAUAAAAGAGAUUAUUGUGGGGUGAAAUGGAAGGCAGGAGGAGACUGAAACACCUCUCCUGUCCACUUCUCUGUUGAAAAUGGCACCUUUCCCCCCACUAGCUCUGCCGUGACGUGGGUUCAACCCUUAAAAACAGCUCUGGAUACUUUUUUUGGGAACAAACCGUUUCUGCUGGACAUGUCAGGGCACAUCAGGAAUUUUCUUGAUGUAUGGGAAGCCUUUGGAGGGGCUGCAAAAGUAGUUGUUUUGCUGAUACUGACUAACUCACCUAUGCCUCUGGAAACUGUGGAGACGUUUGGGUCUGAUAUGGCUUUAGGAGAAGCAGAAACAUCAGGGAUUGCAUGUCGUAUAGAAAUGUUGUUUUGUAGAAACAUUUUAUUCUGAAUUUUAUUUUAUUCCGAAAACUUAAAAAAGAUCAGGCUGUGACCAACAAAACCCAGACAAAUAGAUCCAAGCCAGAAGGUCUUCUAUCCACUGAUGUUACCUUUUGGAAAUAUAUCCUUGACUUACUUCAUAACCGUAUGGUGAUAAGUUAAAUUAUUCAUACAAGAACAGAAACUGAGAAAUUGUAGUUCCAUCAAUUGCCGUACAGCAGUUUUGCUGUCACAUACCCUUGAAGUCUAUUUUUGACUUCCUAUUUGGCAUGAGUACCAUCUCUGUGUGCUUAUAUGCUUACAAUCAUGGUGUAUUAUAAAUAGCCAGCAAAACACAUCUCUGCAGUGGAAGUGCAGCUUUGUAAUAUGCUUGUAUAUAACAGCAAGCACAAGUUUUAAGCCAUGAGAUGCCAGUGACCAGCAUUAACCUUUGGUCUAGUGGGAAUGAAUAACUAGCAACAGAUAUGUCACACUGGGCUGCCAAAGCAUGUGUUAAAGACUUGCCUUGCUCUAGAUGUCUACAGCAUGUCACAUAACCAGUGACCGAGAGCAGCAAAGAAGGCAGCAAGAGCAUGCCAGCAAAUUCUUUAAAUACAUUUCAUCAUCUUUCAUAUCAACAUAGAUUUCUAGCUAAAGCUAAUGACUUGGUUUUGCAAGUGAACUACUUCUCAGAAGAAUAAUAAAUUUGUAGAGUUGGAAGGUACCCUGUGAGUCAUCUAGUCCAACCCCCUGCAAUGAAGGAAUCUUAACUAAAGCAUUCAUGACAGAUGACCAUCCAGGCCCAGUGCCACCAAGCAGGUCAUGCUCCCCUAAAUCCACUUCUGUUGAAAACCAAGUUGCCCAGUCAUCUAACAUCCUGAGAUAGAAGUUCUCUGCGUAGUAAUCCGGUGUGUCUAAAGUAUAGAAUACAAUGACUUAUGCUUAUGAUGUCUGUUUACAACAUCACUAUCAUAGAAUCAUAGAACUGUAGAAUUGGAAGGGACCCCAAAUAGUCCCACCCCCUGCAAUGCAGGAAUAUCAACUAAAGCAUCCAUGACAGAUGGCCAUCCAACCUCUACUUAAAAACCUCCAAGGAGGGAGAGUCCACCACCUUCCAAGGGAGUCUGUUCCACUGCUGAACAGCUCUUAGCAUCAGAAAGUUCUUCCUGAUGUUUAGUCGGAAUCUCAUUUCUUGUCAUUUGAAGCCAUUUGUUUGGGUCCUACUCUCAAGCAGGCGAAACUUGCUCCGUCUUCUAUUAGAUAUUUGAAGGUGGCUAUUGUAUCAUCCACAUAUUUGAAGCAGGUGUGUCCCCCCCCCCCCGAUAUUUGUGCAUCUGGUUCUUCCUGCCUAAGUGCAGAACCUUACAUUUGUCCUUAUUGAAAUUCAUUUUGUUACUUUAGGGCCAGUUCUCCAAUCUGUUAAGGUCAUCUUGAAUCCCGAUUCUGUCCUCUGCUGCAUUAGUUACCCCUCCCCAGGGGUGCAAUCUCACCCUCAGGAUUGGGGGGGGGCCACCGCCAUAACACGGAUGUGUGACGUCACAUACACACACCUGCACAUAAUGUGUGUGAUGUCACACACAAGACACCCAACAUCACAUCACGUUGGGGGAGGGGGGGCUCCUCCAAAAACGCAGUGCAACAUUGCAUGUUGUGCAUGUGACAUCAUACGCACUAUGUGCAGGUGUGUGCAUGUGACGUCACACAUCUGUGUUGCGGCUGAUGGCGACUCUUCCAUCUCCUCUCCACGACCAGAGAGGUAUCCUUUUCCGUGGAGAGGGGCUCAGACUUGGAGGUAGAGAGACACUACCUCCAUGUCUGAGCCCCACCCAGAACAGGGUGACUCGCUGGCUGCGGAGGGUGGAACUGAACUGAUUCUCGGGGGCUGUGCCGCAGAGGCUGGCUGACUGCCUCUCUCCGGCUUUGCUCAUUGACUUUGUGGGUGCCCAAGCACCCACGGCCCACUGAAGUUGGCUCUUAUGCCCCUCCCAGCUUAGUAUCAUCCACAUAUUUGAUGAGUAUCCAGGCUGACCUGACAGAAUAUGCAUCCUGCAACUAAUUAUGGUUAUUUGUGCAAUUGUGAGCAUGAAGUAAAGUCAAAGAAUCUCUCAUUUAAAGAAUCUCCAUAGCCCACCUUCUGGAAAGUGCUAUCCCGAUGCCUUAUAUUAUUUUGGUGAUAGUGAAUACUUUUCUGACAACCAAUGGUGCCUAAUUGAAAUACUGGAUCCAGGUUAUGAAACUUCAGACCUGCACCGCCCUUGUUUUCCUGCCCCUCCUACUCUCAAAUCUUUUUCAGGAAUUGACCCACCAGUAAUAGGUGAGAGACAAGCAAAACAGAAAUGCAAUUUUUUUCUGGAUUUUUUGCUUUUUGUUGCACUAGGCAGAUUAAUAUCCUGAGUCAACUCAAGAGGAUGUUUCAUAACCUGCCUAUGUCUGUUUAUUGAUUUGCAAGCCUGGGCAUCUCAAUACGGCUCUGUUUUUCCCCCCUUUGGUUGUCACCUGGCUAACUAAAAAGGCAUUUUUAAUUUUUACUCCUAAAACAAUGAGAGCACAACUGGCAGGUUUCUGCUUGUCUAACAUGUUGUAAUUAAUGAUUCAAUUCAGACUUUGAUCUAUUACAUCUCUUAGUUUCUUGCCAAUUGUAACAAAGGUCAGGAGCUAUGGAGUUCAUGGUAUUUCACCCAUGUAGCAUUGUUAUCCAUUCACCAUGGCAGCUUUGUAGGAAUAAGAUGGUGAGAGAAUUUGAAUGCGCAUGCAUUCUUUUGUGAUAGAAAUGUUGUGAAGCUAAGACCUAGAUGUUCUUUAAGAUAAAAAUAACUCAGAUAAAAACCGCUCAUAUGCAUAGUUGUUGUGAUUAAAAAUGCACAACUCUUUAGCAAUAUGCAGGCAGCCAGAUUCUAAGCAUGUUUCUUCAGAAAUAAAUCCCACCGAGUUCCAUUGUAUUUGGGACUAAGCUCCUUUGAAGCUACAAUAACAAUACUGUAGUGGGAUCUGUUAGGUGUACCUGUGAACCAAGGUAUUCUUAGCUCCUUAUGGGACUCAGCUGCAUGAGUGCUCCCAGGUAAAGGCUUUCCCGAGUGGCCAUCAUGCUGAAUCAGUUUGUGUUAUAACAGCUAUCAAGAGCUAUGUGGCAAAAAACAAUAAUAUCAAAACUCCACAAAGUCAAGCAUGGUAGCACUAACCCUUCAUGGUAGUUGAUGGCUAGUGCAUGAGAUAUGUCCCCCUCCCACUUCCUUUUCUAGUUUGAUAGUAUCUUACGCUGGAUUUCUAUUCAUUUAUGUAUGUAAAACAUUUUACCUCGCUUUUCAGCUUAUUACCUCUUGUCUGCCUGCCCCCCACACCACUCAGGAAAGUCGCAAUGACAUCAGUGCCAGGACAGCAGCUCUGCAGCACUGUCCCACCACACUGGCCACUCCUAAACAUCAGCUUUGGACAUAACAAGAAGUAGGGACAAUAGGAAGUGCAAGCUUGUGACAUUUCUUGCCCUCUUUAUCCCUGCUUGUCCUCAACAACAGUCAUGACACAUUGUACUUGCCAUCUGCCUCCACUGAGCGGCAACUUGGUGAAGGAAGUUGUCACAGUACAAGUUAUACAAAAGGGUUUUUGCAUCGGGGUCAGCUGUAAUGGAUGCAGGCUGAUGUUAUCCACACUGCAGCUGUGCAGCAUAAGUACUUUACGCCUCCGUCAUCACAGUAUUGUAGCUGCUAAACUUCGUGAACUGAGUCUUUUCGUUUUGGUCAGUAACUUUCUGGACCUUCCACCUUCUUAGGCUUCUACUCAGCAGUGGCAGAAGAGAAAUGUAGUGUUCCCACCCCAUUCUUCCAGGUUAUAACCAUUACGGUCACAGCCAGUGUGGUAUAGUGGUUAAGGGCGGUGGACUCGUAAUCUGGUGAACCAGGUUCGAUUCCCCGCUCCUCCACAUGCAGCUGCUGGGUGACCUUGGGCUAGUCACACUUCUUUGAAGUCUCUCAGCCCCACUCACCUCACAAAGUGUUUGUUGUGAGGGAGGAAGAGAAAGGAGAAUGUUAGCCGCUUUGAGACUCCUUUGGGUAGUGAUAAAGCAGGAUAUCAAACCCAAACUCCUACUCCUACUCCUCCUCUUCCUCUUCUUCCUCCUUCACUCACCUUCAGUCACAAAGUAGUUUUUAAAAAAGUCAUACUUAAGAUUACAUUGCUGCGUUUUGAUGCUUAAAGCAAGGAUGAGGAAUUUAAGGCCCUCCCAAGGCAGUUGGAUUAUAACUUCCAUCAGCCCCAGCUGGUGAUGGUGGGAGCUGUAGUCCAAAAACAUCUCCAGGGCCGCAGAUUCCCCAUCCCUGUCCUAAGGCAUGUAUAGUCAUCAGAGGCAUGGACAGCAACAAGGCCUGCAAAUCGCAUAAAGACAGACCUAGCCUUUUAUCAGCCUCUUGUGUGCUGUGCUCUUGCCUGAUCCCUGGCUCAAAAAACUAGAGGCACACCCACACCCAAGCACAGGGAACAGUGUACACUCUGUUAGAUGCAAAACAUGACGCAAGCUCACACUUAGGACCUUUAUUUGUGGCAUCUUUAAGUACAUAGCUAGCCACCACCCAGGUAUGUGCCACUUCUUUGAUGGGAGUAUUAGGAACAUGUUAGGCUACUAUCAGAACCAGUGGCCCUCUAUACAUUGCUGCAUCAUAGCUUCCAUGCACCAUCCCUGCUUAUUAGCCAAGGUUUCUUAGCCAUUUCUGCACUUUUCUUUCCUGCUGCCACCCCACCCAUCAUGUAUAAAUUGGCCUCUACUUCACAAUUGAAAUUUAAGCCUAUACCUGUUUCACCCAUUGGAUUUAUCAGAAAAUAGCCAUAGGAGUAUUUUUCUUUUAUUAUUUUUGUGCCCUGUGAAGCUCUUUUAUUAAGCUUUUUAGGAUGUUUCUCAGCAGGUUAUUCCUUAUAGGCAGACCAAACAUACUCUCUUGUCUAUUUUACCUUAGCCUGAAGGAACAAUACACGGUCUGUACAGUUGCGCAGAAUGAAAGGCACACUUUAUUCAGCAGAUAACCACUACUUCGUGUUUAAAGUAAUUAAAGUGACAGUUAUACUAAAUGUCCUUGUACUUAUUCCUAGUACAAAGUGGUCCCUAUUUUGACUUUUGGGAAUGCUUUGUUAUGAUUUUUUGUGGGCACGCACACAUGUCCACGAUAAGAUCCCACUUUACAG